ensembl:snRNA U6 U6 spliceosomal RNA
GUGCUCACUUCAGCAGCACAUAUACUAAAACUGGAACUCUACAGAGAAGAUUAGCAUGGCCUCUUUGCAAGGAUGACAUGCACAUUCAUGAAGUGUCCUAUAUUAAA